rnacentral:rRNA from 1 species
GUCGCCAGCCACACUACCUUAAAUUUGCCAGAUCCCAUCUGAUUCUAGAAGCUAAGCAUGUUCGAGCCUGGUUAGGACUUGGAAUGGUGAUCACCUGCUAAUACCAGGUGCUGCGCCC